CCUACGGGAGGCAGCAGUGGGGGAUAUUGCACAAUGGGGGAAACCCUGAUGCAGCGACGCCGCGUGAGGGAAGACUGUUUUCGGAUUGUAAACCUCUGUCUUUGGGGACGAAUUGAGACGGUACCCAAGGUGGAAGCUCCGGCUAACUACGUGCAAGCAGCCGCGGUAAUACGUAGGGAGCAAGGGUUGUCCGGAUUUACUGGGUGAAAGGGGAGUGUAAGCGGGAUAGUAAGUUGAUUGUAAAAACUAUGGUCUAAACUGGUAAAUGCGAUCAAAACUGCAAGUCUUGAGUUAAGUAGAGGCAGGCGGAAUUCCUAGUGUAGCGGUGAAAUGCGUAGAUAUUAGGAGGAACACCAGUGGCGAAGGCAGCCUGCUAAGCUUUAACUGACGCUGAGGCUCGAAAGUGUGGGUAGCAAACAGGAUUAGAUACCCGUGUAGUC
rnacentral:rRNA from 1 species